AGCGAACGCUGGCGGCAGGCCUAACACAUGCAAGUCGAACGAAGUCUUCGGACUUAGUGGCGGACGGGUGAGUAACACGUGGGAACGUACCUUUUGGUUCGGAACAACUCAGGGAAACUUGAGCUAAUACCGGAUAAGCCCUUCGGGGGAAAGAUUUAUCGCCAUUAGAGCGGCCCGCGUUAGAUUAGCUAGUUGGUGAGGUAAAGGCUCACCAAGGCUACGAUCUAUAGCUGGUCUGAGAGGAUGAUCAGCCACACUGGGACUGAGACACGGCCCAGACUCCUACGGGAGGCAGCAGUGGGGAAUCUUGCGCAAUGGGCGAAAGCCUGACGCAGCCAUGCCGCGUGAAUGAUGAAGGUCUUAGGAUUGUAAAAUUCUUUUACCAGGGACGAUAAUGACGGUACCUGGAGAAAAAGCCCCGGCUAACUUCGUGCCAGCAGCCGCGGUAA
rnacentral:rRNA from 1 species